rnacentral:rRNA from 1 species
UACGUAGGGCGCAAGCGUUGUCCGGAAUUAUUGGGCGUAAAGAGCUCGUAGGCGGCUUGUCACGUCGGGUGUGAAAGCCCGGGGCUUAACCCCGGGUCUGCAUUCGAUACGGGCUAGCUAGAGUGUGGUAGGGGAGAUCGGAAUUCCUGGUGUAGCGGUGAAAUGCGUAGAUAUCAAGUGGAACACCAGUGGCGAAGGCGAGUCUCUGGACAUUUCCUGACGCUGAGGCACGAAAGCCAGGGGAGCAAACGGG